rnacentral:rRNA from 1 species
UACGUAGGGGGCAAGCGUUGCCCGGAUUCAUUGGGCGUAAAGAGCUCGUAGGCGGUUCGGCAAGUCGGGUGUGAAAACUCCAGGCUCAACCUGGAGACGCCACCCGAUACUGCUGUGACUUGAGUCCGGUAGGGGACCACGGAAUUCCUGGUGUAGCGGUGAAAUGCGCAGAUAUCAGGAGGAACACCGGUGGCGAAGGCGGUGGUCUGGGCCGGCACUGACGCUGAGGAGCGAAAGCGUGGGGAGCGAACAGG